GACGUAGGGGGCCAGCGUUGUUCGGAAUUACUGGGUGUAAAGGGUUCGUAGGCGGUGCGGCAAGUCGGGAGUGAAAUCUCUGGGCUCAACCCAGAGGCUGCUUCCGAAACUGCUGUGCUUGAGUGUGGGAGAGGCGCGUGGAAUUGCAGGUGUAGCGGUGAAAUGCGUAGAUAUCUGCAGGAACACCCGUGGCGAAAGCGGCGCGCUGGACCACUACUGACGCUGAGACGCGAAAGCGUGGGGAGCAAACAGG
rnacentral:rRNA from 1 species